rnacentral:ncRNA from 1 species
CGAGACUCAGCGAAGUUGAAAUGUUUGUGAUGAUGCAAUCUACCCGCGGCUAGACGGAAAGACCCCAUGAACCUUUACUGUAGCUUUGCAUUGGACUUUGAACCAAUCUGUGUAGGAUAGGUGGGAGGCUUUGAAGCGGGGACGCUAGUUCUCGUGGAGCCAACCUUGAAAUACCACCCUGGUUUGUUUGAGGUUCUAACCUUGGUCCGUUAUCCGGAUCGGGGACAGUGCAUGGUAGGCAGUUUGACUGGGGCGGUCUCCUCCC